rnacentral:rRNA from 1 species
CCUACGGGAGGCAGCAGUGAGGAAUAUUGGUCAAUGGACGAGAGUCUGAACCAGCCAAGUAGCGUGAAGGAUGACUGCCCUAUGGGUUGUAAACUUCUUUUAUAUGGGAAUAAAACGUUCCACGUGUGGGAUUUUGUAUGUACCAUAUGAGUAAGGAUCGGCUAACUCCGUGCCAGCAGCCGCGGUAAUACGGAGGAUCCGAGCGUUAUCCGGAUUUAUUGGGUUUAAAGGGAGCGUAGGUGGAUUGUUAAGUCAGUUGUGAAAGUUUGCGGCUCAACCGUAAAAUUGCAGUUGAAACUGGCAGUCUUGAGUACAGUAGAGGUGGGCGGAAUGCGUGGUGUAGCGGUGAAAUGCUUAGAUAUCACGAAGAACUCCGAUUGCGAAGGCAGUUCACUGGACUGCAACUGACACUGAGGCUCGAAAGUGUGGGUAUCAAACAGGAUUAGAUACCCCUGUAGUC